GGGGUUGUGGCUAAGGGGUACAGUGCUCGCCUAGCACAUGUGAGGCCCUGAGUUCCAUCCUCAGCAUCACAU
rnacentral:tRNA from 1 species